GUAUCUAUGGUGGGGACAUUGGACUAAAAGCAGUUUAAAACGUUCCCAAGCCCCAUGGAAUGGCUCACCUUUUAUUUGCGUAAAGGUAGCAAUCUUACCUCUCAAUUC